rnacentral:rRNA from 1 species
GCAAGGGCGUAUGGGGAAUGCCUAGGCUCUCAGAGACGAUGAAGGACGCGACAAGCUGCGAAAAGCUACGGGGAGAGGCACAUACUUUUUGAUCCGUAGAUAUCCGAAUGGGGCAACCCAGCAUACUGAAGGUAUGUUAUCCGUAAGGAAGUUAACCCGCUGAACUGAAACAUCUAAGUAGGCGGAGGAAGAGAAAACAAGAGUGAUUCUGCGAGUAGCGGCGAGCGAAAGUGGAACAGCCCAAACCGGAAGUGUUACGGCACUUUCGGGGUUGUAGGACCACGACAUCUGAUGCAUAACGAACCAGAACCAGCCGGAGAGCUGGACCAUAGAGGGUGAUAGUCCCGUAUGGGUAAGAAAUGUUAUUGGUAGUGGUAUCCUGAGUAGGGCGGGGCACGUGAAACCCUGUCUGAAUCAAGCGGGACCAUCCGCUAAGGCUAAAUACUCCUGAGAGACCGAUAGUGAACAAGUACCGUGAGGGAAAGGUGAAAAAGAACUUUUUUAGAGUGUAAAAGAAUCUAAAAUAUAACGCCUCCAAUCAAUUGGCGCUUUCCGAAAGGUAAAAGUUACAGUGUACCUUUUGCAUAAUGGGCCAGUGAUUUUUUAUUUACGGCAAGUUUAAUUAAAAUUAGUAUGCGCAAAAAAAUUGAUUUCGAAUCAAGAAAUAUAUAAAGUCGUAAAUAAAAGACCCGAAGCUGAGUGAUCUAACCAUGAACAGGUUGAAAAAAUUGUGGAAACACGUUUUGGAGGACCGAACCCGUGUCUGUAGAAAAAUACUGGGAUGAUUUGUGGUUAGGAGUGAAAGGCUAAUCAAACUCAGGUAUAGCUGGUUUUCUGCGAAAUAUAUUUUAGUAUAGCCUGCAAAUUGUAGCUAGAGUAGGGUAGAGCACUUUUGAAGCAAGGGGGAUCUCGGAUCUUACUAAGUUUUGAAAAACUUCGAAUAUGCUCUAGUAUUUUGUGGAGUCAGACAAUAGGUGCGAAGGUCUAUUGUCAAGAGGGAAACAGCCCAGACUAUUUGAUAAGGUCUUCAAUUGUAGGUUAAGUGAUAAGAAUGUUUAAAGAUUUUGACAAUUAUAAAGUAGGCUUGGAAGCAGCCAUCUUUUUGAGAAAGCGUAACAGCUCAUUAAUCUAGUCUUUUUGCUUCGAAAAUGUAUAGAGGCUAAACCUACAACCGAAUCAGUAGAUAAUUUGGUAGCAGAACAUUCGGUAAGUCGUUAAAGAUACUUUGUAAAAAGUAUUGAAGAUAUCCGAAGAGAGUAUACUGGCAUUAGUAGCAUGAAACAGUGUUUAAUCACUGUCGCCGUAAAUCUAAGGUUUUCGUUACUACAUUUAAUGAUGACGAAAAAAGUUUAACCGGUCCCUAAGACAAAUUACAAAAGUAUAAGUUGAUGGGAUUUUUUAAUGUGACAAAAUGAAAAAAAUAUUAGUAAUUUAACGAUUUAUUACGGUAUUCUAUUGUUUUCUGGAAACAGCAUUAAAAUAAACGACCGUACCUUAAACCGACACAGGUAGAUGGGUAGAAUAUACUAAGGCGUUCAAGAUAAGUAUGUUGAAGGAACUCGGCAAAUUUGCUCUGUAACUUCGGAAGAAGGAGUGACGUAUUAAGGGAAACCUAUAUGCGUUGGCACUAAAGAGGGAGUAACAACUGUUUAACAAAAACACAGGUCUUUGCUAAUUUGAGAAAAGAUGUAUAAAGACUGACACCUGCCCGGUGCUGUAAGGUUACGUAGAGAUGCUAAGGCAUCAAAAUCAAGCUCCAGUAAACGGCGGCUGUAACUCUGACGGUCCAAAGGUAGCGAAAUUCCUUGUCGGGUAAGUUCCGACCUGCAUGAAUGGUGUAAUGAUUUCUCCACUGUCUCCAACAUAUCCUUGGUGAAUUUGAAAUGCCCGUGAAGAUGCGGGCUCUUUGCAGUUAGACGGGAAGACCCCGUGCACCUUUACUAUGAUCUAAAGUUGUAAAGUUGAAAGUUUUGUGUAGUAUAGAUGGGAGCGUAAGCGUCAGUGAAAUACCAUCCUUCCUUUUCGAUUUUACUUAAUUUUUUUUAAAAAAAGACAGCUUGUGAGAGGUAGUUUGACUGGGGCGGUCUCCUCCCAAAGAGUAACGGAGGUGUACAUAAGGCAAAUUCAAAUAAAUAUUUAUUAAAGAGCGUAAUGGCUUAUAUUUGCUUGACUGUAAGAUAUACAUAUCGAACAGGGAUGAAUUAAUUUUUGUCGGUCAUAGUGAUCCGGUGAUUUUGAGUGGAAAAAUCAUCGCUCAACGAAUAAAAGGUACGCCGGGGAUAACAGGCUUAUGGUUUCUGAGAGCUCACAUCGACGAGACCGUUUGGCACCUCGAUGUCUGCUUAUCACAUCCUGGAGCUGAAGUAGGUUCCAAGGGUUCGGCUGUUCGCCGACUAAAGUGGUACAUGAGCUGGGUUCAGAACGUCGUGAGACAGUUUGGUCCCUAUCUGCUGUAAAUGUUAAAAAUUGAAAAGCGUAAAUUCUAGUACGAGAGGAUCGAAUUUAGUAAACCAAUGGUGAAUCGAUUGUUUUAUCAAAAGCAUUGUCGAGUAGCUAAGUUUAUAAAAGAUAAUCACUGAAUGCAUCUAAGUGAGAAACUUACUUUAAAAACAGUUUUUUAAUAUUGUAGAAGACUACUACAUAAUAGAAUGAUCGUAUACGAAUUGUAAGGUUCUUAGCGUAUUAUCUCUAAUAAAAUUAUUUAAUUUAA